GACGUAGGGGGCCAGCGUUGCUCGGAAUUACUGGGCGUAAAGGGUUCGUAGGCGGUGCGGCAAGUCGGAAGUGAAAUCUCCAGGCUUAACUUGGAGGCUGCUCCCGAAACUGCCGUGCUCGAGUGCGGGAGAGGCCAGUGGAAUUGCAGGUGUAGCGGUGAAAUGCGUAGAUAUCUGCAGGAACACCCGUGGCGAAGGCGGCUGGCUGGACCGCAACUGACGCUGAGGAACGAAAGCUAGGGGAGCAAACAGG
rnacentral:rRNA from 1 species